rnacentral:rRNA from 1 species
AUACAUGCAAGUCGAGCGCAUCCUUCGGGAUGAGCGGCGGACGGGUGAGUAACGCGUGGGAAUGUGCCCUUCUCUACGGAAUAGCCACUGGAAACGAUGAUUAAUACCGUAUACGCCCCAAGGGGGAAAGAUUUAUCGCUAAAGGAUCGGCCCGCGUUAGAUUAGGUAGUUGGUAGGGUAAUGGCCUACCAAGCCGACGAUCUAUAGCUGGUUUGAGAGGAUGAUCAGCAACACUGGGACUGAGACACGGCCCAGACUUCUACGGAAGGCAGCAGUAGGGAAUCUUGGACAAUGGGCGAAAGCCUGAUCCAGCCAUGCCGCGUGAGUGAUGAAGGCCCUAGGGUUGUAAAACUCUUUCGCCAGGGAAGAUAAUGACGGUACCUGGUAAAGAAACCCCGGCUAACUCCGUGCCAGCAGCCGCGGUAAUACGGAGGGGGUUAGCGUUGUUCGGAAUUACUGGGCGUAAAGCGCACGUAGGCGGAUUAGUAAGUCAGGGGUGAAAUCCCGAGGCUCAACCUCGGAACUGCCUUUGAUACUGCUAAUCUUGAGUUCGAGAGAGGUGAGUGGAAUUCCGAGUGUAGAGGUGAAAUUCGUAGAUAUUCGGAGGAACAUCAGUGGCGAAGGCGACUUCCUGGACCAAUACUGACACUGAGACGCGAAAGCGUGGGGAGCAAACAGGAUUAGAGACCCUGGUAGUCCACGCCGUCAACGAUGAGAACUAGCUGUUGGGACCUUGAGUCUUAGUAGCGCAGCUAACGCGAUAAGUUCUCCGCCUGGGGAGUACGGCCGCAAGGUUAAAACUCAAAUGAAUUGACGGGGACCCGCACAAGUAGUGGAGCAUGUGGUUUAAUUCGAAGAUACGCGCAGAACCUUACCAACACUUGACAUGUUCGUCGCGACUUUAAGAGAUUAAAGUUUUCGGUUCGGCCGGACGAAACACAGGUGCUGCAUGGCUGUCGUCAGCUCGUGUCGUGAGAUGUUGGGUUAAGUCCCGCAACGAGCGCAACCCUCACUUUUAGUUGCCAUCAUUUAGUUGGGCACUCUGAAAGAACUGCCAGUGAUAAGCUGGAGGAAGGUGGGGAUGACGUCAAGUCCUCAUGGCCCUUACGUGUUGGGCUACACACGUGCUACAAUGGCAUUUACAAUAGGAAGCAAGAUGGCGACAUCAAGCAAAUCCUAAAAAGAUGCCUCAGUUCGGAUUGUACUCUGCAACUCGAGUACAUGAAGCUGGAAUUACUAGUAAUCGCGGAUCAGCGCGCCGCGGUGAAUACGUUCCCGGGUCUUGUACACACCGCCCGUCACACCAUGGGAGUUGGUUCUACCUUAAGGCAAGGUUUAAAACCCUUGACCACGGUAUAGUCAGCGACUGGGGUGAAGUCAUAACAAGGUAGCCGUA